rnacentral:rRNA from 1 species
UUCUUCCAGCAGUUCCAAAAUAUUAGUCAAUGCUCGAAAGAGUGAACUAGCUAACUGAAAUCAAUUAUAAUAAUUGAUAACAUAAGGGAAAAUAAUGAUAUUACCUUAUUAUUAGUGUCGUCCAAAACUGGUGCCAGAAGACUCGGUAAGGCCAGAGACACAAACGUUAAUCGUCUUAAUCAGGCGUAAAGGGUUUGUAGGCGGCUUUAAAAUUUACUAAAAAAAAAUAAUUAAAAUAAGUAAAGAAUAAAAGCUAGAAUCAAAUAGAGGAUAUAUGAAAGAAUGCUUAGAGUAGGUCUGAUAUCUUUAGAUACUAAGUAGAAUAUUAAAGGCGAAAGCUUUUUUCCAUUAAUGAUUGACGCUCAGAAACGAAGGUGAGGAUAGGAAAUAGGAUUAGAUACCCAGAAUACCCCUCUCUGUCAACGAUGAAUGGUAAUUAUUAGUAAAAAUUUUAUUAAUAGUAAUGUUAACACGAUAACCAUUCCGCCUUGUGAGUACAACUGCAAAGUUGAAAACAAAAAAAUUAGUCGGUUUCGGAGCAAACGAAGUGAAGCAUGUUAUUUAAUUCAAUAAAUCCGCAAAA